rnacentral:lncRNA from 10 species
GGUCCCACUGGAGGAAAAGGGUCCGAUUCAAUGUGGGGACCGAAGGGCUGCGUGGAGAGGAUGUCAGGGAGACUCCACUUGGCUGGAGUGAGGGGUAAGGGGUGAGGGAUGAGGGGCUUCAUGGAGAGGGAGAGCCCUGCUCCCAGGGGAAGCUCCUCUCGGGACCUGCUGAAGGGUGCAGACUCGAGGACCGAGGCGAACAAUGAUGUGACGUCCUACUUGCCCCUCCUCCAGUUUGGAAGGAGGCAGCCAUCUAUGCUGGCGGGUGCCAUGGUAGCAGCAGCCAUGACCUGUAGACUCCAGCUAUCCUGGCCUAAGCUGCCCGGCCUGGCAGGGAGACCAAGCCCUCCUGGCUGAAUCUCCAGCACCGCCCGAGCUUGUGCUCAGCACCACCCAGAAAAGAACAAGGACGAAUCACAGAACCACCGUGUCUGCCCCCAGGGCCUGCUGCCGAGUGCCACCAAAGCAGAAAGACCCCCUAGAGAGGGUCCUGCAUGUUUCUGCUACACUGGGGUGGUGGUGGGAACCCUGCUCUCCUUCCCGUUCAGGAAAGGUGAGCACCUUGCGGCCUCUACAGUGGAAGACUCCGGGUCCUGACCCCCAGGGAGGGACUUCCAGUGUUGAAGGACGCGGGUGGCUUUCUAACAACCCUUUUGGGGAUGCUGGGUCAUCGCCUUCCAGUUGAUCGAAUGGCAGGUGGGCAACUCCCUGGCAGGGCAGGGGCAGAGGAGUCUUCCGGGAAGCAGAGCGGGACCCCUGCUGGGCCCUGCCAACGAAAUACUCACCACGUCAGGGUGCCAAGACGGACUAUGACCAGAGAAUGAAAGCUAAGGAGAAAAAUAAGAACAAAAAUAGAAACUGAAACGGAAAGGGGAGGAUGGAGAAACGGAAGGAAAGAAAGAGAAAAAAGAGUUUGUAGUGCUUCUGGCAAGAAAUACACGCGAUUACAGACUGAAGACAGAGCUGUUGGCAGGGAGGAGAGGACGCUAUUAAGGACUGUGCCGAGGGAGGGAUGCUGCCCAAAUCCCCGGGUCUGAGGGGUGGUGCCGCCACCCCUAGGAACGCACUGGGGACUCUGCACCGGGCAGAUGCGGGUGGUGGGCGCUGGUCAGGGGCCCCACACCCAGCGUGUCCCCAGCACCACAAGGCCAGCCUCCCGGGGACUGGGUCUCCUCCUCCCUGAAGUGAAACCCAUCGCUGAGACCUGCUGCAGGAAUUUUUGGCAAGAGCACCAAUGGGGUAAUAAUAAUGGUGAACGUUGUAUUGAAAGACAUUCCAAGUGCCCAGCAAACAAAAGCAGGCCUGUGAGAAUAUUGUGGUCUCAGUCCCACCGUAAGCAGCAAAGUACAACCAGCACCCUGAGCAGACAAAGCGCACACAGUCUCACUCUGGGCUGGGGGUCGGGAGCCAGGCCCAUCUGGACACGAGAGAAAAUCGGGCAGUGGGGCAUCGCUUGGGAAUGAAGAGCUAUUUAGCUAGAUUUAAGAAAUAACACCUGAUCUAUUUUUUUCUUUGGAGACAGGAUCUCAGUCGGUCACCCAGUCUGGAGUGCAGUGACGUAAUCAUGGCUCACUGCAGCCUCAACCUCCCAGGCUCAGGUGAUCCUCCCACCUCGGCCCCCUGAGUAACGGAGAUUAUAGGCACGUGCCACCAUGUCCAGCUAUGUUUUAAAAUUUUUUUCUAGAGACAGGGUCUCACUAUGUUGCCCAGGCUGGUCUUGAAAUCCUGGGCUCAAGCGAUCCUCCCAUCUAGGCCUCCUAAAGUACUGGAAUUACAGGCAUGAGCCACCACGCCUAGCCCUCACAUUUUUCUAGUAUUUAAUACAAACAAAUAUCCUUAGGUUAAGAUGCAAAAUGAAACAGACAUUUGGUUUGGGGAGAGGCUUUGCCCUCUGAGGCUCCAGCCCCCAGAACACUGUGUCCCCUCCCGGCAAGGCCGGGUGCCCCUGCGUGCUAGUGGGUGCUUCCCCACGUGGCCUGGAGUCCACCGGGGCCUCAAAGGCUGUGCCUUGAGUAACUCGUUCCUCAGGAUGAUGAUUCUCACAGGCGGCAGUGAGUGCCCAGUGGAAGGGCAUGGGUGUCACCGCCUACGAGGGGCGGGGCAGGGCUAGGGUGGAUGUGGGAUGACACACGGCCCGUCUAAGGCGACUGCUGUCCAGAGGGACCCGGUCUCUCCUGGCAAUUGCAGAGCAUCUGUGGGCUCCUCCUCAGGCCGGGACCAGCACAUGCCAACCACAGGGGCAUCCCAAUGCCAGCCUCCUGUUCUCUCCGGAAGGAUGAGGCAGAAGGUGGGGCCACUGACCAUUUCAUUCAGCCCUCGGAGGGAGCCCGUCCCUUCAGUGAGCUCCACCGCAUAGCAGAUUUAGCAAAAAGUCUCACUCUGAGCUGGGGGUCGGGAGCCGGGCCCCCAGGACCAAUCACAAUGGAGUGAACACUGUCACCCCCAGACAUGACUGAACCAGCCCCACGUGGGAGAACAAGCGCUGCCCUGAACGCCUGCAGGCAACCCCGGGAGAGACUCUGCUGUGCUCCCCUCAUCCUGACUUGGGGAGCACCAAGUCUGUUAUGUGCAUGGACAGAGCAGCCCUGACCCCACACCUCACGGAGCUGGGACCCCGAGAAAGAGCCAGACAGCCCUCCCCAGCCCUGGUGUGUGGCCUCUGCCUAACUGCACGUCAACGGGUGCUUCUGAUCCGGGAACUGGAUUCUUAGACCAGUGCAAGGUGAACCUGCACGGAUCAAAGGCUUCCACACAGCCCAGGCUUCAGUGAUGGGAGGAACCCGAGGCCGUUGGCUCCAGAUGGGGAAACUGAGGCCACAAGAGGAGUGGCUCCUCUGCGGUCGCAUGGCUGGGCCCUGGCAGGGGCAUUCCUAGACCCUGGGGCUCCUGUCUCCGGGUCCAGAGCCCUUGCAGCUACCACCCAGCUCAGCUCCGCCCAGCUCAGCUCCGCCCAGCCUUCAGGCCUCCAGGCGGCCGCUUCCCGCUGCUGUUGGGAGCGAAGUCUGCUGCCCCAACGGCCUGGAGCUGAGUGACUCAGGUCGGGGUGACACCGGGUUCCUCUCCCUUGAUCUUAACAAGCAACCCCCAAAACUGCAUUUGUUUUACCUUUUCCUCCAGUUCCUUUAUUUGUCUCUUCUGAGCUUCUAUUCUUUCUUCUAACUCUUUAAUUCUCUGCAAGAUUAAAAGGAAGAACAUCUUCAAUAGUCACAGUACUCGGGAAACCCAAAUCCUUCAAGAUUUUCAUUCAUUUCCUUGGUAACAGAUCGUCGCAGAGCAGCUGGCAUGGCCAUGGCCCGUGGCUCCUGACGAGGACACAAGCCUUUGCUGCACUGCUCUGGCAGGAGAGUGGAGGGUCUUCGCCAUGCCACACUCC